rnacentral:rRNA from 1 species
CUGUAAGGAUAAGCACCGGCUAAUUCCGUGCCAGCAGCCGCGGUAAUACGGAAGGUGCAAGCGUUAUCCGGUUUUAUUGGGUUUAAAGGGUGCGUAGGCGGCUUAUUAAGUCAGUUGUGAAAUCCUAGUGCUUAACGCUAGAACUGCAAUUGAUACUAUUAGGCUUGAGUUAAGAAUAGGUAAGUAGAAUUUAUGGUGUAGUAGUGAAAUGCUUAGAUAUCAUAAGGAAUACCAAUAGCGUAGGCAGCUUACUGGUCUUUAACUGACGCUGAGGCACGAAAGCGUGGGGAGCAAACAGGAUUAGAUACCCUGGUAGUCCACGCCGUAAACGAUGAUCACUCGGUAUACAUAAAUUUAUGUGUGUCUAAGCGAAAGCGUUAGGUGAUC